rnacentral:lncRNA from 1 species
GGAGCUCAGGGAAUCCUCUUGUUUCACUGAUACAGAAAUUGCCAUCGUGGAGGCUGGGCAUGGUGACUCACACCUGUAAUCCCAGCACUUUGGGAGACCAAGGCAGGCAGAUCACCUGAGGUCAGGAGUUCAAGAACAGCCUGACCAACAUGAUGAAACUUCAUCUCUACUAAAAAUACAAAAAAUUAGCUGGGUGUGGUGGUGGGUGCCUGUAAUCCCAGCUACUCGGGAGGCUGAGGCAGGAGAAACACUUGAACCUGAGAGGUGGAGGUUGCAGUGAGCUAAGAUUGCACCACUGCACUCCAGCCUGGGUGACAGCAAGAAUGCAUUUCAAAAAAAAGAAAAGAAAAAAGAAAUUGCCAUGGUGGAAAAUCAACAUUCCACUUCAGUGUGAGGUCUCCAUCCUUUGUCACUCAGUACUUGCCCACCCUUGACUCCUAUACCAGCCAUCACACCCAUCCUGUUCCUUUAUAUUCCCAUACCCCCGCCCCCAAGAAACCCUGGCAGUUGCAAGUUUCUCUUCUAUUAUUUCAUUCUCUGAAACUUGAAGGCACCAGAGUUUCCAGAUUAGUGUUCCCUGGGUGGCAUCUUACCCCUUUCACAGGUCCUCUACGAUGGAAAGUAGACCAAGAAGGCAUACACGGGUCAGAAAUGGUUCUUUGGGCCAGGCACAGUGGCUCACACUUGUAAUCCCAGCAUGUUGGGAGACCAUAGCAGGAGGAUUGCUUGAGGCCAGGAAUUAGAGACCAGUCUUGGCAACAUAAUGCGACCCCCAUCUCUACUAAAAGGGAAAAAUAGCUGGAUGUGGUGGCAUGUACCUAUAGUCCCAGCUACUAGGGAGGCUGAGGCAGGAAGAUCCCUCGAGCCCAGGAGGUUGAGGCUGCAGUAUGAUCGCACCACUGCACUCCAAGCCUGGGCAACAGAGACCCCAUCUCUAAAAAAAUAUAGAAUGCAGUAUCUAUAUUAUGUAUAGCUUCCCUAAAAAUUUAUUAUUUUAAAAUUUCAUCUUUUCUGCUCUGUGCUUCCACGUGGUAAUCAUCUGAAUCCUAGAAUGUGGGGAUUUUUUUGUUUUUGUUUUGUUUUUUGAGAUGGAGUCUCACUCUGUUGCCCUCAGCUCACUGCAACCACCGCCUCCCAGAUUCAAGCGAUUCUCCUGCCUCAGCCUCCCGAGUAGCUGGGAUUACGCCAGGGGGACAGAGUAAGACCCCUGUCUCAAAAAAAGAACAAAGACAGAGAGACUUUUCAGUGUUAUGAAAUCUAACAGUGCACCAUCGUUCUGCUUAUUGGGAUUAAGAGUUAAAGUCUAUUUGUCUACUUGGCUGAUCAAGCUUAUUGAAUUAUUCCAGU